rnacentral:misc_RNA from 1 species
CAGAACUCAAGAAAGAGUGGUGGCCAGACUUUGUGGAGUGGGUUACCUCUGAUGAGUAUAUUGCUCUAGGAGAAAAGGGCAAGCAAAGCCAAAGCAUGAAUAAGUUCCGACAAAAACUAGGUCGGCGAAGCUAUACUGUACAAAAGAGAAAAUGGGCAAAGGAAGAUGCACAAGCAUUAACCGAGGGUAAAUCUAUUCCAUUUCAAGACAUGCCAGAUGGUCGUCAUAAGGAUUGGGCAAGGGCGAGGAAUCCUUCUGGCGAUGUGAACAUAACAGAGUCGCAUCCAAUCAUAAAGAAAAUUGUAGAUCUAAAUGAAAAGUCAGUAGCUGGUACCUUUACACCAUUGGAUAAUAUGGACAUACUUGCAACAGCAAUAGGGAGUAAUCAUCCAUGGAGG